rfam:Candidatus Staskawiczbacteria bacterium RIFCSPHIGHO2_02_FTLL_34_10 rifcsphigho2_02_scaffold_8273, whole genome shotgun sequence.
GCCACUCUAGCUCAACAGCAGAGCAACGGUUUUGUAAACCGUAGGUUCCGGAUGCAACUUCCGGGAGUGGCU